UGGGGAAUUUUGGACAAUGGGCGAAAGCCUGAUCCAGCAAUGCCGCGUGCAGGAUGAAGGCCCUCGGGUUGUAAACUGCUUUUGUACGGAACGAAAAGCCUGGGGCUAAUAUCCCCGGGUCAUGACGGUACCGUAAGAAUAAGCACCGGCUAACUACGUGCCAG
rnacentral:rRNA from 1 species